ensembl:lncRNA
CUUUGCUUUUGUAUGAACCCAAGGCACUGGAGCUGUUCUAAAGGCUUCCCAUGAAUCAUCUUAACACACUGGUGAGCUCAAUAUACAUCAUAUCCUGGGAUAAUGAAAAGAUUCGUGGAAACUCAAAAGAUCAAGAAGCUCCUCUUAGGAAACGAAGGUGGGACCCAGCAUUUUUGGGAAUUGCAACCCAUUGAAUAGAAGAAUUCAGGAGCUCUAGAAUUUUUUCCUAGCAAGGAGCAAGUUGAAGAUGGACUUACAGCCCUUUACUGAGUGCCCAGUGCUGGCUGCUAGAUUUCCCAAUUUCUGAUGACCUGAAUGGAGGGAGGAAAUGUGGUUAAGGAGUUUAAUCCCAACCCAGCCACUGACUGUGUGAUUUGGACAGUUGGUUCUCACUGCCUGGCACCCUCAUCUAUAAACAGGGAGAAUCAAAUUUGUGAAUGCAGAUCGGGAGCUGUCAUCAAUGUCAAAGGAAGGGACAAGGAUAUCAAAGUAUAUGUAAUCCCAGCUUCUCUUCUUCCUAGGAGGAUUUUGUAUUUCAGAUUUUUUUGCUCAGAGUAAGAUUGCAGAAAAAAGGAAAUGAGACUACUACAGAAGAACAUUAUGGAGCCGAAGUUGUAGAAGAGAUGAAGAGGAAGGCUAGUAUUUGAAGGGACCAGAGCAGCAGAGAGGCUGAAAGCAUGAUGGGAGCUUUGGGGAGGACAGUAGAGAGCCUUUUAGGCAGUUUGCUUUGUGCUGUGUGAAAUGAUUUUCCCCUGGUUUCCUCUGCAAAUGACUUCAGGAAAACACUGGCUCAAGGAUCUUGAGGUCAGAUGUACUAUAUGAUGUCUUUGCAUUGGGUAUUAGCCUCAAAGCUCUGGCAAUAAGGCCUACCUAAAUUCAACAACCUUCUUAUUUGCUAACAAAAUCAAUCUAAGCCUUGUAGAUCUGUCUGGGGGUUACAGUUGUCCAAGAUCAGCCCUUUCUCAUUGUCCAUCUCCUCAAUUUAUUUUUCAAUUUUUAACAAUAAAUAUGGACCACUUAUAAAAGAUUAUUUGAAACAUUUCCAGGCCAGGGUCAACCAGUUGCUCAUCAGUGACAGGAGAUGGAGCAAAGUUCUGAGGCAAGACGCACUUUACACACUGGGUCACACAGAAGAAAUGGCUGGGGAAGAUCUAUGUCAAACCUGGAUGUGUGGCCUUGCUGUAGAUUGCUGGCAAUGAAUGUUGCCAUGGUCUGCAAAGGCCUGCAGGGAGAGGAGUUUACAGGAUCAGCUCAGAAAGAUUGCUAGGCACAGGUGGGUUUUUUUUUUUUUUUUCAAAAUCCCAUCCAAAAGCAUUUACUUUAAUAAAUAUACUGAGAUGAAAUAAUAAUCAUGUCACUGGUGCAUAAGAAGGAUAAUAAGAUAUUAAUAUACAGCCCAAAUAAAUUCAACUCCCUUUGAGAGAAAUAGCUAACUUGCCAAUAUGUAUGAAUCAAUUUAACUUACAAAGGGAGAAGAGUUGUUCGUUGGAGUACACUGAGAGUAGUGAUUAAUAGACUGCCAAUUCUAAUAUGAAUUUUGUUUCUGUCCCAGGGAGGGUUUAAAAUUCAUUGUAUUUUUAGGCAUACAAUUCUUCUACACCUAUUUUUUUUCAAUUUUAAACUUUAUAGGUUCUCUCUGUGAAAAAAGAAAAAAUGAGGGAAGGGUUGAAAGUGAAAUGUAAAACCUUGCAAACCUUCCUUUUUAAUGUGUGUAAGCAUAUAAAUACUUAGGCAUUUAAAUAGUAAGAUUAUGUUUUACACAUUGUGUUUGUAACUUGGGGUUUUUGAUGCUCGUUAAUUGAUUUAAUAGCUUUUUCCUGAGUAUCUAUUAGGCCCAUGGCAUUUUAUUAGGCUCUGAGGGGUAGCAUGGGGCUAUUCUCAGAGGUCAGAGUUUAGGGGAGGAGGAAAGAGAAUAAGUAGGUAAAUAAGCAUACAGUUGUAAACACAUACACAAUGUCUACUGUAUACAUUAUGUAAUUACGCUUUUCAAAGCACGCUGAUAGGAAGGAGAAGAAGUGGGAGGCAGAACAAUGAGCAGGUUAUAUUCAGUAAAAGGAGCCAUGGAUACUGCUCUGAGAAGGUGACACAGAAGGCAGGACCCAAGGACAAGUCACAAGACAGCCUUAGCGCAAGAAGGUAGAGUUUCAAUCAGAUAUGUUACACUAAAUAAAAACCCAAUUUGGCUGACACUACACCUCCCUUGCAAAAGAGGAAACUGAGGCUCAGGGAGUCUGAGGAGCCUUUUCAAAGCCACACAUUAACUUCUGCAAGAGUUCGCAUAGGUUUUAUGUUCAGUCAUCAAGUUGCUAAACAAUUGAGCUUUAUCCCAAAGCUUCAAUGGUAGACUUCAAGUGGAAUGCAUUAUCUGCUUAUAAAAGUCACACUGAUUAUUGUCAACUUUAUCAUCAUUGUCAUUGUCACUGUCAUCACCAUCAGCAGCAGCUAAAGCUAGCAAAGGCUCUACUAGCCAUGCAGGAGCCAGCAGCACACAAAAAGCCAAACUCCCUCUUGCCUAUGACCCAUCUGUCAGUGGAGCCCUCUGUGAAUGGAUGCUGGAUGCCGGUGAGCAUUUGCAUUUGGUUGUUCAUUCCACAUUUUUGCCCUUUCAGCCCUUCCCAUAAGCAUGUAUAAGGGAUACAAAGCCAUUUUAAUGCACAAAUGGCCAGGGGGUGCCUCUGGUUUUGGUAUCUAUUUAUAUCCAUAUAGCCAGAUGGAAAUCUAUCCUUAAGGUCCUAACAUGCACUAUUAAAGGAGAAAAACAAAAGCCACCAGGUCAAAGCAUGAGUCCCAGUGGGAAGUUAUUAGGAUCAUGGUGGUAUUACUCCAAGUCUGGUCCAUCAUUAUACAUGAAUCGUCAGUGCAUAUUGGGUAAGGCAAAGGGGAGCAGAGCAUUCCACUCUGAGGCUGUAUGUAUGCAUGUGUGUGUGUGUGUGUGCGCGCGCGCGCAUGUGUGCAAUUUUUUUACAGAACCAUAAUAAUGGGAAUUUAUUGAUCAUCUGUAUAUGCCUAAACCUUUGAAGAAGGCAGUAGGUUUAAAUAGAAUAAAGAGAACAAGCUGGAGUUUGAAGGUCUAUAUCAAGAAUGUUUGAGAUUCAUUCCUAAAACUUACUAUAUAAGCAAUUCUAAUAACAUAAAUGAUAUUAAAUAUUUAAGAAUGUAAAGAAUUGGAGAAGAUUACCUUUAUCAGGUAAGCAUUCCAAUGGAGAAAUUUAGGCAACUUUUAUUAAUUAAAUUUCUUAAAGUCUUAUUUUUUUUCUGUGACUCUUAGCUAAGCAGUUAGCUGAGUGCAUAGUAGGAUAUAAAUAAAAAUAAAUAGUAAUAACUUUUUAUGAAGGGGAAAAACCCAGUGAGUUUACAACUGUGUUGAGAUUUCUUGCCUCAAAUCUUCCACAAAAUUUUGUUAAGAAAUCUAUUUCAGACCACUGCUGAUUUAUAGAGUCCUUUCUCCUAUUGUAAUUUAUUUCUCCUUUCUCCAUGUUUAAGUGGUAUGGAAUAUCUAUGAAGAAUUGAAAUAAGCACACACAUCAUUAUGUUCAUUUCUAAUGCAUUAAAACUCAGCU